AAAAACAAUGACCUGCCUGCUGGAGGAGGGGCAGUUUCCUGAGAAUCAGGUGCAUGUCUGGAGCGAUGAUGUCAUCCUUCUAACUAGACCUGCCUGAGAGAGAUGGAUGCAGAGGAGGGAAUGUUUUCCUAAUAGCUGGUCUCCAGCUGGGAGGAGGAUUAAACUGACAGCUUAAGGCAGUUUGCCUUCAAUAUCUUUUGGAGGAUGGCUUCUACCCUAUCUGGAUUGAAUAACUCAUGCUGUAGAUGACAGUCAUCUUCUGUAGAUAAAGAAGUGGGAUGGUUGCAUUGUUCUGACGAGGGGUCCUGGACUGUAAUUCCACAAGGAAGAAAUGCAGCUUCAUCUUCAUGCCCUCUCUCCCAUAUUUAAUGCUGCUGGAGAAGCCCAAAUCCAAGGUGAAGAAGUGUCACUUCUAGUGUAUAAACAAAUCUUUCUGGCACGGCUGGGCAUUCCAGUUGCAAAAGAAGGAACAGGAGAAGAAACUUCUAAAGAUCUGCACAGAGUUAGAAGAACUAUAACUGAAAAGUUUUUACUCCAGAGAGAAGUGCUUUUAUUUUAAGAAGUUGUGAGAUCUCUACUUUUUCUAAUUUGGAAGAGCUGACGUUGUCAUUACUCAAGAUAGAAACAAUUGAAAGGGGCUGAAAAAUUGUAUUUUGAUGUUGGUGUAUCUACUCUUUUACUAGUUGGAUUUUGUUCAUUAUUCUGCAGGAGGAUUACAAAAAGGAUUAAGAGAAGUCUUUUUUUUUUUU